CGCCUGGGGAGAGAAAAAGUAGGAGUGGAUGCAGGAGGGAACAAAACUCCACUCGUCCAGAGAAAGCAAAAGGAUGGGAAAGAACCAGGGGAAAACGUGAACCACGUAGGCACAGAGGAAGAGUGAAAUAAGAAACCUUACUAAGGACGGUGUCUUGUUGCAAAAGAAAUCGCCCGGGCUCUGGAUAGCUAAGUGCUCAUUCACCUCUGCAAACAGAAAAGUCAGGGCGCGUGUAGCUGGAGGGGCGGCUCCUUUCGCUCAUCUGCAUUCCUUUUGUCUGGAGCUAGGGUGUGGUCGUAACCGGGAAUAAUGGUUCCUUAUGACUAACUUUCAUCUCCCCGUAAAGGAAUCAUCUUUAAAAAGCAACAACCAAAACUUGCUUCCUAAUCACAUAAAACAGCCCGAGACUCUCCCUCUCCGCAGUGAAGUGAUUUCUCCUGUCUUGAUCUUGUUCCUCCUUGAAACAACAGCUCCCCGGGGGGAGUUCUGGCCGCCAAGAAUGUUAGAGAGCAGCGUUAGAGGAGAGCAGCAUUUCUCUUGGUCAGCUCAAGGUCACUCACUGUAACCUCAGAGAUGGCAGCUCUCUGGGAUCUGAGACCUGAACAAUGACAAUUAUGCGUCCCAGUAGCUGUCGGUGUCCUUAAUCUGCCUGUUAAAGAACUGAUGAAGCCACACUCCAGGUUUCCUGGGACGAAUGGCAUUAGUCUGACAUGGAGGCAAGUGGUAAAGAGUGAUCAGAGCGAGGAGCCCAGGAGAGCCAGGGAGAGGAGCUGGAAGCCACUCGAAGGGCACACUGAGAGAAGCAAGGCAGACUCUGCUAUGAAAAAUCCACAUCUGAGCUGCAAGGAGCCGAGGUCUGGCUUAUGGUACCUGAUAGAAAAACAUGAUUUGGCCUGUGGAGUGAGGUAUCUUUCCACAGCAAGAUGCACACAAAAACAAGCACAGAUGCAUACAAAGACAUACACACACACACACACACACACACACACACACACACACACACACACACAUAGAGUCAAGUUGAAGAGAGCCCAGAACCCAAAAUUUUAGCUAAGUUUUAAAACAUAAAAAUACUUCUGGAGAAGCCAGUGGUCUCCUGGCAGCCCUGUUGCCUGAAAGCAGCAUCUGCCUCUUUUUGAACACUUCGGGUGUGGUAAGGGGUGAAGAGAAAUCAUAAAGCCAGAGGCUGGGGCUUGAGGGGGUUAGGAGCAUGGUGCCCAGUGCAAUGACAGAGAACGUUACAGGCUGGGACUGGGCUAGUCCAGGACACAGCUCUAGACUUGUCCUGGAGAAGCUACACACAUUUGUAGGAAAUGAACCUGAGCUGGCCACAGACUUGUGUGCUGUGUGGUCAAACACUGCUUCCCUUGCCCAGGUCUACAGUUCCAGAUCAUCUUCCAAAGCACACCUGAACCUCUCUGUCUCUCUGUCUCUUUCUCUCUGUUAUUCUCUCUGUUAUUCUCUCUUUGGUUCUUUCUCUCUCUCUCUCUCUCUCUCUCUCUCUCUCUCUCUCUCUCUCUCUCUUUCCAUUUUUGUUGUUUGAGACAGGGUUUCUCUACAUAGCCUUGACUGUCCUGGAAUUUACCCUGUAGACCAGGCCUACAGGCUGGCCCUGAGCUUACAGAGAUUUGCCUGUCUCCGAUUCCUGAGUGCUGACAUGAAAGGCGUGCAGCACCACUGCCUGGGGCAGCUGUGACUAUAUGUAUAAUUUAUUAACUAUAAUCUUCCUAUCUGUCCACUCAUCUAUUCACUGUCUGACUGUCCAUUCAUCCAUUCGUCCUAUCUAUCUAUCUAUCUAUCUAUCUAUCUAUCUAUCUAUCUAUCUAUCUAUCUAUCUAUCUAUUUAUCAUCUAUCUAUCAUCUAUCUAUCUAUCAUCUAUCUAUCUAUCAUCUAUCUAUCUAUCUAUCUAUCUAUCUAUCUAUCUAUCUAUCUAUCUAUCUAUCUAUCUAUCAUCUAUCUAUCCGUCUGACAUCUAUCUGUCCAUCAUCCACUAGAAUAUACACACUUGCAGUGCCCUUUCUGUGAAAGCAUCUCAGUAACAUCAUAUUCAGGAGCAUCUUCCGGCCACGCUCACUAUGGAGAACUGCAGCUUUUGGAAUCACUCGAAUUCAAGAGAAGACAUUCAGAGACCGACUCACACAGCAGCCUCAACUCAAAGAGGAGCACAGGUGGAAGGCUCACUAAGAAUAUGCCCCUGAGCCGGGUCACCACGACACUCCGGCCUGACCAGAGAGCUCCCUCUGGUGGCUCUUUGGUGCACGCUCCCCCCCCCCCCCCCGCCCCGACUUAGAAAAUUUGAAAUGAAGUAAUGCCAAGACAAGCAGACUGUUAAAUCUCAGAUUCGAUUCUAUAAUCUGUCUGACUGUCUGACUGUCUGUCUGUCUGUCUGUCUGUCUGUCUGUCUGUCUGUCUGUCUGUCUAUCAUCUGUCUCUUAAUAAAAGUGCUGGUUAUUCUGAA